rnacentral:rRNA from 1 species
AUUGAACGCUGGCGGCAGGCCUAACACAUGCAAGUCGAACGAGUGGCGGACGGGUGAGUAAUGUCUGGGAAACUGCCCGAUGGAGGGGGAUAACUACUGGAAACGGUAGCUAAUACCGCAUACCAUCUUAUGUGCCCAGAUGGGAUUAGCUAGUUGGGGGGGUAACGGCUCACCAGGGGGGCGAUCCCUAGCUGGUCUGAGAGGAUGACCGGCAACACGGGAACUGAGACACGGUCCAGACUCCUACGGGGGGCAGAAGUGGGGAAUAUUGGCCAAGGGGCGCAAGCCUGAUGCAGAAAUGCCGCGUGUAUGAAGAGGGCCUUCGGGUUGUAAGGUACUUUCAGCGGGGAGGCGUUACCCGCAGAAGAAGCACCGGCUAACUCCGUGCCAGCAGCCGCGGUAAUUC